rnacentral:rRNA from 1 species
CCUACGGGUGGCAGCAGUGAGGAAUAUUUGUCAAUGGACGAGAGUCUGAACCAGCCAAGUAGCGUGAAGGAUGACUGCCCUAUGGGUUGUAAACUUCUUUUAUAUGGGAAUAAAACGUUCCACGUGUGGGAUUUUGUAUGUACCAUAUGAAUAAGGAUCGGCUAACUCCGUGCCAGCAGCCGCGGUAAUACGGAGGAUCCGAGCGUUAUCCGGAUUUAUUGGGUUUAAAGGGAGCGUAGGUGGAUUGUUAAGUCAGUUGUGAAAGUUUGCGGCUCAACCAUAAAAUUGCAGUUGAAACUGGCAGUCUUGAGUACAGUAGAGGUGGGCGGAAUUCGUGGUGUAGCGGUGAAAUGCUUAGAUAUCACGAAGAACUCCGAUUGCGAAGGCAGUUCACUGGACUGCAACUGACACUGAGGCUCGAAAGUGUGGGUAUCAAACAGGAUUAGAUACCCCAGUAGUC